GAUUAGGUAGUUGGUGAGGUAAAGGCUCACCAAGCCGACGAUCUGUAGCCGGUCUGAGAGGAUGAACGGCCACAUUGGGACUGAGAUACGGCCCAGACUCCUACGGGAGGCAGCAGUGGGGAAUAUUGGGCAAUGGGGGAAACCCUGACCCAGCAACGCCGCGUGAAGGAAGAAGGCCUUCGGGUUGUAAACUUCUUUUACCAGGGACGAAGAACGUGACGGUACCUGGAGAAAAAGCAACGGCUAACUACGUGCCAGCAGCCGCGGUAAUACGUAGGUUGCAAGCGUUGUCCGGAUUUACUGGGUGUAAAGGGCGUGUAGGCGGAGAUGCAAGUUGGGAGUGAAAUCCCGGGGCUCAACCCCGGAACUGCUUUCAAAACUGCAUCCCUUGAGUAUCGGAGAGGCAAGCGGAAUUCCUAGUGUAGCGGUGAAAUGCGUAGAUAUUAGGAGGAACACCAGUGGCGAAGGCGGCUUGCUGGACGACAACUGACGCUGAGGCGCGAAAGCGUGGGGAGCAAACAGGAUUAGAUACCCUGGUAGUCCACGCUGUAAACGAUGAAUACUAGGUGUGGGAGGACUGACCCCUUCCGUGCCGCAGUUAACACAAUAAGUAUUCCACCUGGGGAGUACGACCGCAAGGUUGAAACUCAAAGGAAUUGACGGGGGCCCGCACAAGCAGUGGAUUAUGUGGUUUAAUUCGACGCAACGCGAAGAACCUUACCAGGACUUGACAUCCAACUAACGGAGUAGAGAUACAUUAGGUGCCCUUCGGGGAAAGUUGAGACAGGUGGUGCAUGGUUGUCGUCAGCUCGUGUCGUGAGAUGUUGGGUUAAGU
rnacentral:rRNA from 1 species